rnacentral:rRNA from 1 species
AGGGUUCGAUUCUGGCUCAGAACGAACGCUGGCGGCAUGCCUAACACAUGCAAGUCGAACGAGAAGCUAUCUUCGGAUAGUGGAAAGUGGCGCACGGGUGAGUAACGCGUGGNAACCUGCCCUGAGGUUCGGAAUAACGAUUGGAAACGGUCGCUAAUACCGGAUGAGCCCUGAGGGGGAAAGAUUUAUCGCCUUGGGAGGGGCCCGCGUCCGAUUAGCUUGUUGGUGUGGUAACGGCGCACCAAGGCUUCGAUCGGUAGCUGGUCUGAGAGGAUGAUCAGCCACACUGGGACUGAGACACGGCCCAGACUCCUACGGGAGGCAGCAGUGGGGAAUAUUGGACAAUGGGGGCAACCCUGAUCCAGCAAUGCCGCGUGUGUGAAGAAGGCCUUAGGGUUGUAAAGCACUUUCAGUCGUGACGAUGAUGACGGUAACGACAGAAGAAGCCCCGGCUAACUCCGUGCCAGCAGCCGCGGUAAUAC